rnacentral:rRNA from 1 species
GACAGAGGGUGCAAACGUUGUUCGGAAUUACUGGGCGUAAAGCGCGUGUAGGCGGUCUUCUAAGUCGGAUGUGAAAGCCCCGGGCUCAACCCGGGAAGUGCACUCGAAACUGGAAGGCUAGAGUAUCGGAGAGGUUGGUGGAAUUCUCGGUGUAGAGGUGAAAUUCGUAGAUAUUGGGAAGAACACCGGUGGCGAAGGCGGCGACCUGGUCCUUUACUGACGCUGAGGCGCGAAAGCGUGGGGAGCAAACAGG